rnacentral:rRNA from 1 species
GCAGUCGAGGGGUAGAGUUAGCUUGCUAACUUGAGACCGGCGCACGGGUGCGUAACGCGUAUGCAAUCUACCUUUCACAAAGGGAUAGCCCAGAGAAAUUUGGAUUAAUACCUUAUAGUAUAUAUGAAUGGCAUCAUUUAUAUAUUAAAGAUUUAUCGGUGAAAGAUGAGCAUGCGUCCCAUUAGCUAGUUGGUAAGGUAACGGCUUACCAAGGCAACGAUGGGUAGGGGUCCUGAGAGGGAGAUCCCCCACACUGGUACUGAGACACGGACCAGACUCCUACGGGAGGCAGCAGUGAGGAAUAUUGGACAAUGGGCGCAAGCCUGAUCCAGCCAUGCCGCGUGCAGGAUGACGGUCCUAUGGAUUGUAAACUGCUUUUAUACGAGAAGAAACCCUCCGACGUGUCGGAGCUUGACGGUAUCGUAAGAAUAAGGAUCGGCUAACUCCGUGCCAGCAGCCGCGGUAAUACGGAGGAUCCAAGCGUUAUCCGGAAUCAUUGGGUUUAAAGGGUCCGUAGGCGGUCAGGUAAGUCAGUGGUGAAAGCCCAUCGCUCAACGGUGGAACGGCCAUUGAUACUGUCUGACUUGAAUUAUUAGGAAGUAACUAGAAUAUGUAGUGUAGCGGUGAAAUGCUUAGAGAUUACAUGGAAUACCAAUUGCGAAGGCAGGUUACUACUAAUGGAUUGACGCUGAUGGACGAAAGCGUGGGU